UCACGGCCAAGGUAGUCUAUAUUUUAUUAAUGGAGGUAGACUGACUGUUGUCCAUAGUCUUUACUGUGAACAAGCUUCUCAUGACCAUUUUCACUCAGCAGGCUUUGUAUUAGGAAUGAGAGUGAAACUGGACCUUUCUCACUUAACUUUUUGUAGGAUUUAUGUAGGGUUGGAGAAAUGUUAUCAUUGCCAUUCUAUCCAAGAGCUUCUUUUUCCUCUAAUAUCAUGUCAAUAACACAGAAAAAUCUGAAGCUCAUGUAUUGUGGCAUGAUACUUACUAGGUUACUUAAGGGUGUAUGUAUGUUACUUAAGCUCCUAUAUUGUGGCAAGAUACCCACUAGGUUACUUAAGGGUGUAUGUCCACUGCUUGAACUCUGAAGCUUGGGCAGUGAGCUAAGGCUAUGCUAUUCAACCAAGGAGCAGGUAUGCAUGAGAACCCAAACAUCCCAGAAAAUA
rnacentral:lncRNA from 1 species